GAUGAAGAACGUAGCGAAAUGCGAUAAUUAAUGUGAAUUGCAGAAUUCCGUGAAUCAUUGAGUCUUUGAACGCACAUUGCACCCUCUGGUAUUCCGGGGGGCAUGCCUGUCCGAGCGUCAUUGCCGCCCUCAAGCACGGCUUGUGUGUUGGGCCCCCGCCCCCCGGCUUCGGGGGGCGGGCCCGAAAGGCAGCGGCGGCACCGCGUCCGGUCCUCGAGCGUAUGGGGCUUCGUCACCCGCUCUGUAGGCCCGGCCGGCGCCCGCCGGCGACCCCAAUCAAUCUUUCCAGGUUGACCUCGGAUCAGGUAGGGAUACCCGCUGAACUUAAGCAUAUCAAUAAGCGGAGGA
rnacentral:misc_RNA from 1 species